AUUGAACGCUGGCGGCAGGCCUAACACAUGCAAGUCGAGCGGAGCGGCGGGCGGGUGGGUAAUGUCUGGAAGACUGCCUGGUAGUGGGGGAUAACGUCCGGAAAGGGGCGCUAGUACCGCAUACUCUCAGUUGAGCCUAGGUGGGAUUAGCUAGUUGGUGGGGUAAAGGCCGACCAAGGCGACGAUCCGUCACUGGUCUGAGAGGAUGAUCAGUCACACUGGAACUGAGACACGGUCCAGACUCCUACGGGAGGCAGCAGUGGGGAAUAUUGGACAAUGGGCGAAAGCCUGAUCCAGCCAUGCCGCGUGUGUGAAGAAGGUCUUCGGAUUGUAAAGCACUUUAAGUUGGGAGGCGUUACCCGCAGAAGAAGCACCGGCUAACUCCGUGCCAGCAGCCGCGGUAAUUC
rnacentral:rRNA from 1 species